UACAGAGGUCUCAAGCGUUGUUCGGAUUCAUUGGGCGUAAAGGGUGCGUAGGCGGCGCGGUAAGUCGGGUGUGAAAUCUCGGAGCUUAACUCCGAAACUGCAUUCGAUACUGCCGUGCUUGAGGACUGGAGAGGAGACUGGAAUUUACGGUGUAGCGGUGAAAUGCGUAGAUAUUCGGAAGAACACCAGUGGCGAAGGCGGCUGACUGGUCCGGUUCUGACGCUGAGGCGCGAAAGCGUGGGGAGCAAACAGG
rnacentral:rRNA from 1 species